rnacentral:rRNA from 1 species
UAAUAAGAUCUUUAAAAAAAAAUUAUGCUGUUAUCCCUAAGGUAAUUAAUUUUAUUAAUUUAAAUUUUAAGUAUUAUUUUCAUUAAUUGAUGUUUUUUUGUAAAAAAAUUUUUUUAAUUUUUUUAUUACCCCAAUAAAAUUAUUUAAUAGAUUUUUAAUUUUAAAUUAAAUUUAUUAAAAAAUAAAAUUCUAUAGGGUCUUGUCGUCUUUUUUAUUAAUUUAAGUUUUUUUACUUAAAAAAAAAAUUAAAUUUAAUUUAAAUUUAUAAAGUUUAUACUUCAUUUAAUCAUUCAUUCAAGUUUUUAAUUAAAAAACAAGUUAUUAUGCUACCUUUGUACAGUUAUUGAUUCUGCAGCAU